rnacentral:lncRNA from 1 species
AGCGACCGUAGCAGCGGAGAGGCUGCGGCGGGUGCGGUGGGCUUAGUCCCAGCGCGGGUGCGGCUCACGGCGCGGGCCCCACUCUUCCGCACCCUGCUCCGGCCUUGGCCACAGCGAACUGAACGCGGUAGCGGCCUCAGGGAGAGGUGCUGGGCAAGUUGAGCUCUCUGGCCCACAUGGCUUCUGAAGCUAAGAACUUGGGGACAAUGCUUUCUGGAAGCAUUUCUUGGCCAUGCUGGACUGUAACCUUGUUCCUGGUGUGAGCAUUCUUGGAUGCAUCAGGCAAAAGCCCUUGAUUCUGCCAGAAAGAUGAGCAGUAACAGCAAUAAGAGAGCUCCAACAACUGCGACACAAAGGUUGAAACAGGACUACCUUCGAAUUAAGAAAGACCCAGUGCCUUACAUCUGUGCGGAGCCCCUCCCUUCAAAUAUUCUUGAAUGGCAUUAUGUUGUCCGAGGCCCUGAGAUGACUCCUUAUGAAGGUGGCUAUUAUCAUGGAAAACUAAUUUUUCCCAGAGAAUUUCCAUUUAAGCCUCCUAGUAUUUACAUGAUAACCCCCAAUGGAAGAUUUAAGUGCAACACAAGGCUGUGUCUCUCCAUCACAGAUUUCCAUCCAGAUACAUGGAAUCCAGCGUGGUCCGUCUCCACCAUUCUAACAGGGCUCCUGAGCUUUAUGGUGGAGAAAGGCCCCACCCUGGGGAGCAUAGAGACAUCGGACUUCACGGUGAGAAAAAACAGCUGGCAGCACAGAGUCUAGUGUUUAAUUUAAAAGAUAAAGUCUUCUGUGA